rnacentral:rRNA from 1 species
UACGGAGGGUGCGAGCGUUGUCCGGAAUCAUUGGGCGUAAAGGGCGCGUAGGUGGCCACUUCAAGCGUGCGGUGAAAGUCGGGGGCUCAACCCCUGAUCGGCCGUGCGAACUGGGGGGCUGGAGCACUGUAGAGGCAGGCGGAAUUCCGGGUGUAGCGGUGGAAUGCGUAGAGAUCCGGAAGAACACCGGUGGCGAAGGCGGUCUGCUGGGGUCGAACUGACGCUGAGGCGCGACAGCGUGGGGAGCAAACAGG